GAUGAACGCUGGCGGCGUGCCUAAUACAUGCAAGUCGAGCGAACGGACGAGAAGCUUGCUUCUCUGAUGUUAGCGGCGGACGGGUGAGUAACACGUGGAUAACCUACCUAUAAGACUGGGAUAACUUCGGGAAACCGGAGCUAAUACCGGAUAAUAUUUUGAACCGCAUGGUUCAAAAGUGAAAGACGGUCUUGCUGUCACUUAUAGAUGGAUCCGCGCUGCAUUAGCUAGUUGGUAAGGUAACGGCUUACCAAGGCAACGAUGCAUAGCCGACCUGGGGGGGGGAUCGGCCACACUGGAACUGAGACACGGUCCAGACUCCUACGGGAGGCAGCAGAAGGGAAUCGGCCGCAAUGGGCGAGAGCAUGACGGAGUAACGCCGCGUGAGUGAUGAAGGUCUUCGGAUCGUAAAACUCUGUUAUGAGGGAGGAACAUAUGUGUAAGUAACUGUGGACAUCUUGACGGUACCUGAUCAGAAAGCCACGGCUAACUACGUG
rnacentral:rRNA from 1 species